AGUGAACGCUGGCGGUAGGCCUAACACAUGCAAGUCGAACGGCAGCACAGGAGAGCUUGCUCUCUGGGUGGCGAGUGGCGGACGGGUGAGGAAUACAUCGGAAUCUACUUUUUCGUGGGGGAUAACGUAGGGAAACUUACGCUAAUACCGCAUACGACCUACGGGUGAAAGCAGGGGAUCUUCGGACCUUGCGCGAUUGAAUGAGCCGAUGUCGGAUUAGCUAGUUGGCGGGGUAAAGGCCCGCCAAGGCGACGAUCCGUAGCUGGUCUGAGAGGAUGAUCAGCCACACUGGAACUGAGACACGGUCCAGACUCCUACGGGAGGCAGCAGUGGGGAAUAUUGGACAAUGGGCGCAAGCCUGAUCCAGCCAUACCGCGUGGGUGAAGAAGGCCUUCGGGUUGUAAAGCCCUUUUGUUGGGAAGGAAAUCCAGCUGGUUAAUACCCGGUUGGGAUGACGGUACCCAAAGAAUAAGCACCGGCUAACUUCGUGCCAGCCGCCGCAGUAA
rnacentral:rRNA from 1 species